rnacentral:rRNA from 1 species
AACGAACGCUGGCGGCAGGCUUAACACAUGCAAGUCGAACGCCCCGCAAGGGGAGUGGCAGACGGGUGAGUAACGCGUGGGAACAUACCCUUUUCUACGGAAUAGCUCUGGGAAACUGGAAUUAAUACCGUAUACGCCCUACGGGGGAAAGAUUUAUCGGGGAAGGAUUGGCCCGCGUUGGAUUAGCUAGUUGGUGGGGUAAAGGCCUACCAAGGCGACGAUCCAUAGCUGGUCUGAGAGGAUGAUCAGCCACAUUGGGACUGAGACACGGCCCAAACUCCUACGGAAGGCAGGAGUGGGGAAAAUGAGACAAAGGGAGGAAACCUGGUCCUGCCAUCGCACGGAAGGUAAAGAGGCUUGAGGGUUGAAAACCUUUUUAACCGUGGAAGAAAAGGACGGGAGUCGGAGAAGAAGCCCCGGCUAAUUUCGU